rnacentral:misc_RNA from 1 species
AGAACAUGAAGCCAUUGUAGAGGUUUGAUACUGUUUUUCCUUUUUCUUGUGCACCUGUGCUAAUGUUUGCAACUGAUAUAAUUUAGUUGGUGGAUGUCCAGUAGAAACUUGUUGAACCUGAAUCUCAUUACUAUGUGAUAGUAGAAUCUACCUUAUUGGGUCUUUGUUUAAGUUGCUGGUUUGUGAUUGGUGUAUUCAGGAUGAGGAGAAAGAAAGCCAUG